UGAUUUAAACUAAUAAUAUUUGUACAAGUGCCAGAGUAGUUAUGGGUUGGCUUUAAGCGUCAAAUAUAGACAGUUAUGUCUCUUGUGUU
rnacentral:tRNA from 1 species